GUUUUUUCUUUCCAUUUCUUCUUUCUUCAUUUCUUCAUCAACUCCACCACCACUAAGUUGUUGUCGAUGGUGUUGCCAUUUGCACCAAUUCCGGUUGUUGCCUCCCUCACUUCCCGACUAUAUAUUCCCCAUUUCUAUCUCUUUUAAGUUUUUAUUUUAUUUUUAUUUUAUUAUUUUAUUUUAUUUAUUUAUUUUUACCUUUCAUUUUUCUUUUAUUUCCUUUUAUGCACUACCAUAAACGUGCCUCUAUCUUCAUUGUUGCUCACCAUGGCCAUCGAUUUCUGCAUCUCUGUUCAUGGGUUAGAAGAUAGAGGUGCAGUAUUGAUUGGGAGCAAUUGGAGGCAGGGCAUGGGCAUAGGCAGAAAGUUGGUGAACCUGAUUUGGGGAUAAAAAGAUCAUUUUGCAGCCGAAAAAAAAGGGGAAGGAAGGACGACUCUUGAUAUUUUUUCUAAUCUUCUUUGUAUUUUCUGUGAUAUUUUGUGAGAGGGUUGAGAAUUUUUUUUGUAUUUUUGAGCUUCAUUGUGGAAGCUUUUGGAGGGCCAUUAUUGUUAUUAGGACUGCACUUCUAAGGUUACUCCUACAUUCUUGUCCUCCAAGUUUUGUCGUAUAUAUUCAUUUUAGUUUUCUUCUUGUGUACAUGUGAAUGUAUUAUCGGUGUUUAGAUUUUUAUUGUAUAUGGAUGUUUAAUUUGUUAUUCA